UACAGAGGUCUCAAGCGUUGUUCGGAUUCAUUGGGCGUAAAGGGUGCGUAGGCGGCGCGGUAAGUCGGGUGUGAAAUCUUGGAGCUUAACUCCGAAACUGCAUUCGAUACUGCCGCGCUUGAGGACUGGAGAGGAGACUGGAAUUUACGGUGUAGCGGUGAAAUGCGUAGAUAUCGGGAGGAACACCGGUGGCGAAGGCGGUUCUCUGGGCCUUACCUGACGCUGAGGAGCGAAAGCAUGGGGAGCAAACAGG
rnacentral:rRNA from 1 species